UACGUAGGGUGCAAGCGUUAAUCGGAAUCACUGGGCGUAAAGGGCGCGUAGGCGGCUUGAUAAGCGUGCGGUGAAAGCCCGGGGCUCAACCCCGGGUCGGCCGUGCGAACUGUCGAGCUGGAGCACUGUAGAGGCAGGUGGAAUUCCGGGUGUAGCGGUGGAAUGCGUAGAGAUCCGGAAGAACACCGGUGGCGAAGGCGGUUCUCUGGGCCUUACCUGACGCUGAGGAGCGAAAGCGUGGGGAGCGAACAGG
rnacentral:rRNA from 1 species